rnacentral:lncRNA from 1 species
GUAACAUUACCAACAGCAAUACAUUUCAUCUGUAUGGAGCAUUCAACACCACGGCCAUAGCUGUCGCAGGUAUUUACCUUUUCAUGAAUAUGUUUCUUAUGAACUCUUUUAAUUUUGUUACACAAAAUUAUGAAGGAAGGAAUUUUUUUGCAUUUAUUUUAGAACUAGCAGUAUCGCUCGGCAUUGCUCAGGUUUGUUUUGACCCUUUAGAAUUGGAAUUUUCGAAAAGUAAAGAUUUUGCAUUAUGUAGCUUGUUAUUCUCUUUAAGUGAACAUUUUUCUGGUUGAAAUACACUGAAAAAUGGCAACACAGUAGUCAAAAAAUCGUUGAAAAUAGGGAUUUUCAUAGAAAAAAAAGCACCUUUUUGAUGUAAAUAAUUUUUGGUCUUAACAAGGUCCGAUUUAAAUUUUUUCUUCUACAGAAUGAAGAGCAAGCCUUCUUCUAUCAUACUUUCAAUUUUGGUCAACUUGUGCUGCAGGGUCUCGGAGGAGAUAGUGUUAGUUGAAGGCUACCAACCUGCCAUACACAGACAACUUCAGCUUUAUAUAUAUAGAUAAAUAUUUUAUUAGGAUAGCAUUUGUAUGAAAACACCAGAGAUAGUCUCAGAGAGGUUGGUAUGAAAAGAGAUAAAUAUUUUGCCAUCUAUGUCGUCAGACAGACAAUUGAAGCCUGGUACAGCUCUCCUGCCUGCUGGCUCCUGUCAAACUGUCCAACCCAUGCCAGCAUAGAAAAACAGACGUUAAAUGCAGACAAUGAUGAUGAUGCUGAUGAUGUAGUCUGAGAUAUGCUUGUGAAAAACAAGCAGAUUAGCAUGGAUGAUAUGCAUGCAUUUUGACUCUAUGUCUCCACAACAGGAGUUCACCUGGGGUUAAACAACAGCAAGCACACACAUGUAGGCAUGCUCAUGUAUAACGAUAGAUAUGUAUGACAUAUGUAUGCACGCAUGCAUGUAUAUGUAUGCGUGUGUGUGUGUGUAAUUAUAUAUUCUUUUAUUCUUUUACUUGUUUCGGUCAUUUGACUGUGGCCAUGCUGGAGCACCACCUUUAGUCAAAGAAAUCGACCCCAGGACUUAUUCUUUGUAAGCCUAGUACUUAUUCUAUCAGUCUCUUUUGCUGAACUGCCAAGUUACGGGGAUGUAAACACACCAGCAUCAGUUGCUAAAUGAUAGCAGGGAGACAAAGACACACACAAACACACACACACACACACACACACACACACGCACACACACACACACACACACACACACACACACACACACACACACACACACACACACACACACACAUACAACAGGCUUCUUUCAGUUUCUGUCUACGAAAUCCACUCACAAGGGUUUGGUCAGCCCAAGGCUAUAGUAGAAGACACUUGCCCAAGGUGCCACACAGUGGGACUGAACCCAGAACCAUGUGGUUGGUAAGCAAGCUACUUACCGCACAGCCACUCCUGCACUUAUAUAGUGCAACUUAAAUUUAAAUUGUAUGACAGGUAACCAGUAUUAAUUUCUCCAUAUCUAUUCCUGUAUACCCAAAAGAAAAACAGCAAAGAGGACUCAUAGACUCAUAGUCCGAGUCUCCUUUGGUUGGAUGCUAUGGUUGGAAACGUCACAGAGUAAAAAUAGAAAGCAAAACAGCAGACUUAGUUCAUAAGAUAUUUAGUUGUGUCAUCUUACAUGCUUUUCAUUAACAAUAAAAAAAAAUACCAGAUAUAUAAGUAAAACCUUAUAAGUAGGGUGCAUUGUCAAAUCUUCAGAGAUUGAAUAACUCAUUAGUAACCUUUAACAUUUAUACUGGACUACUGACAGUGUUAUAAUAUCAACUAUCAAAUCGACUGUGUUAAAUUAUGUGAAAGAAUUAGCUUAUAUACUUACAGGAAGGAUGAAAGUAUGUCUUAUAGAAUAGAAAAACAGUAUUUACGUGGCCAAUGUUUCUAUUAAAAGAAGUGAUCUAUAGCUAAAGCUAUGAGGUUUCAGAGAUCACAGCAAGGUAUCCCUAUGAUCUAUCAUUCUUAUAUGUUGUUUGGCUGCUAAAUGUUGUCCAAUCAUGCUGCACAUGUCGCAAUCUCCACCCACUUCCACAUAGCUAAGCAAAAGAUAACAGCUUGACACCAUCUUCCAUUUUCUCCGAAUGAAGAAAGGAUGAAAUAUAGACGUAUGGUAAAGUGCAAGUCGUUCUAUCUUUGUUACUUCUGUUUUCACUCCAAACUUUUAAUUUGCACUGGAUAGCCUUCUGAACAAUUUUAAUUUUAAUUUUAAGCAUCACACAAUGUUUCACUCAAACUACUACACAACACUUAUGUGUGUGUGUGUGUGUGUAUGUGUGUGUGUGUGUGUGUGUGUGUGUGUGUGUAUAAAUAGGUACACAUUCAUCAUCAUCAUCAUCAUUAUUGGUUAACGUCCGCUUUCCAUGCUAGCAUGGGUUGGAUAGUUUGACCAGGGUCUGGGAAGCCCUUCCUAAUGCCAACCACUCCGUGAGUGUAUUGGGUGCUUUUUACGUGCCACCAGCACAGGUGCCAGGGGAGGCUAGCAAUGGCCACGAUCGGUUGGUGCUUUUUAUGUGCCACCGGCUGGGGCUAUGCGAAACUGGUGCAGGAAGCAGCCAUGAACUCACAUUAUUUGUCGGGUCUUCGCAGUCACAGCAUAUCUCCAAAGGUCUCGGUCUUUUGUCAUUGCCUCUGUGAGGCUCAACGUUCGAAGGUCAUGCUUGACUACCUCAUCCCAUGUCUUCCUGGGUCUACCUCUACCCCAGAUUCCUUCAACUGUUUGGGAGACAUAAAUCAAAUCUUUUCUUUGUUUCUUCAUUCCAGUUUAUUCUUCAAGGUUGUUUUGCCAUCUGUUUUCUUGUUAUGCAAUUCUAUAUUGAUCAAAGGUUAAAACUUAAUUCUUCAAGUUAUUGUUUUUCACUCAAAGAAAAACAUGACACAAUAUGUAGGAAUUUUUGAUGGUUCUGAGAAUUCUUGAAACAAAUAAAAUAACUGAUUAUUUUACUUUUAUUUUUUUACUAAAAGAAAUUUUAAUAUUAAUUUCUUCUUCUACCACUUUAGUAUAAAUCUCAAUUUUCAGUAAGUUUCAAGAAAGUAAUUAAUUAAAUUUUAAGUCACAUGACAGGCUCUUAUAACAACUGAAAAUUCUGUGAAAUAAAUUGAAUUCUCCAAUAACCAUGAUUGAUACAAGAUGUUUUCUGCUUUUCAGAUUUCAACAACAAAGUAGUCUCAGCAUCUUGGUUUUAUUGUUGUUGUUUUGAUUGUUGUAUUGCUCUUUAUUUUUAACAGAAUACGUGAUAUUUACUACAGAACAUUCAACCAGAUUUUUUUUGUUUACUAUAGAAAUGGUUGUCAUUUAACACUUGAAUUUCAACAACAAUUUAAAAUGUUAUCUCCAAAAUCAUUUUUAUUUCAUGUUUGUAACUAGAGGAUUGUAUUGUUAUUUAUUCUUAGCAGAAUACACAAUAUUUAUCAAGGUGCUGACGGCCAAAUUUUAUCAAUGGAAAUUAGUUCUUUUUUUUUUUUUGAUAGUUUAGACAAAGGCUUUUAAAUAUUAUAGAGUGUUAUUUUUUUUCCUUAUAGAAACCAUAUUUCCUUAAAUUACAUCUUUUCAUCUUGAAUAUAUAUUGGGUACCUAAGAAUACCUCAGAUAAAUGUUUUACUAGAUAAAAGACUGUUUAGCCACUGUUGGAAUGGCUUUGAUCAUUGACCUGUUCAGAGCUCACCUGGGGCUACACAGCAAUAACAACUAAUAUUUACUAUGUCGAAUUGUUGCUAUUGUUUAGCCCAAGUCAGCACUGAUGGAGCAGACCUGUGAUCAAAAGUAGUCCAACCCUGGCCAUCUUGUCUCCAUUGCAUUAUCUAAUGUGUCCUUUUCUUAUUCAAGAAGGAAGGAUGUAAUUUAAAAAAAGUUUGGCUGAUAUUUCUAGCACAUUGAGCAAACCCAUAGAGGCUUCAUCACUGGCUUGCCUUGCUUGUAGUUGAGCUCAUGUCAGAUCUGAUCAAAGAUGUUCCAUUCAUGACCAUCCUGUUCUAUUUUCAGUCAUACUGAUAGAUCCUCUGCUGGUUUUAACAAUCUUCAUUCAUUCUUUUACUGGUUUCAGUCAUAUAGACUGUGGCCAUGCUGGGGCACCACCUUGAAGACUUUUAGUCAAGUACAUCAACCUCAGUACCAUUUUUUUUAAAGCCUGGUAAUUACUGUAUUGGUCUCUUUUGCUGAAUCACUAAGUUAUGGGGACGUAAACACACCAACACUGGUUGUCAAGCAACAGUGUGGGACAGAUAUGCACACACGCAUGCACACACACACACAUACACACAAUGGGCUUCUUUCAGUUUCCGUCAAUCAAAUCCACUCAUAAGGCUUUGGUUGACCUAAAGCUAUAGUAGGAGACACUUGCCCAAAGUGCCAUGCAGUGGGACUGAACUCGGAACUAUGUGGUUCAGAAACAAACUUCUUACCACACAGCCACACCUGCCUCUAUUUUGUUCAAUCAACUAAGUAUUUGCCAAAUUAAUGUAUAAGUGGCUGUAUAUUCCACAGACCCUUGCAGCCUCAGCAUAAUUUCCCGGUUGAAUCAGUAUGAUGCAGCCUAACAGAGUUGUACCUUUGAGUUACAUAACCAAUCCAUCUGGCAGGCUUCCAUACAGUUUCCAUCUGUCAAAUUUCAUGCUCAAGUCUUGGGUCAACAUGAGGAUAUGUUCAAUAAAUUUCACCCAAGAUGCUAUGUUGUAGGAUAAGGUGUGGGGCUUCGUGAUUGCAAAGCAGACUCUUUAAUUAAUCGAACAUAAAUACCUGCAUUUAUUUGCAGAAAAUCUAAAGCUUAAAUUCUUUCUUGAAGAUAGUGAUAGGUUAUAGGAGGAAGAUUUGACUGGUCUUUCUAGCAAUUAGAAAAAUCACAUUGGUUUACUGAGCCUGUUGUAGUUGUUGAAUCCUAAGGUCAACCCUUAUCAAGCUGACAUGAUAAAAGGUCUUUUGGCCACGACUAUUUUUACUUUCAGCUACAAGUGUAUCUAGGAUGAUAUCAUGCAAUGUAACCUCCCCUUUUUUUUUUAAGAUUACACUGAAUUUUUAGAGGAGAUUUAGUUGCUAUUUCUAAAAGGUCAAACACCUUUGUAAAGCCUCUCUUAUUAACUCAGCUUCAUUCUAGUUACAGCUUUUGUCAAUAAAAAUUAGUUUAUUUUACAAAAGCAGUCAGUAUUUGCAAAUAAAAAGCAUUUUUGGUAGUAAAAAUCCAGGACAAAGUAGUUUUGGGUAAUGCAGAUCGAUGGAUUUACAGUUUUACUACAGACGAGGAUAUUGCAAACAUUUCAUUUCUUCUGUAAAUAUUCUUUUAAUGCAAAAUAUUUAAAUACUUGUACGAAAUCGCAUAUUCGAAUUCCCAGUUGAAACUUACUCUAUUUAUUCAAGUUCUAUACAAUCUUGAGUCUAAUGAGACUACAACAUUUUGUAGCUUGAGAUGAGAGAUACCGUUUAUUGUUUUAUCUAACAUGACCCCUAGGUACAUAUAUCAUCAUUUAUAUUUUAGAAACACUGCCAGAUCAGACUGGAGCCUGGUGCAGCCUUCUGGCUUCCCAGAUCCCCAGUCGAACCGUCCAACCCAUGCUAGCAUGGAGAACGGACGUUAAACGAUGAUGAAGAUGAUGAUGAUGAUAAUAUUUUUAGGAAACAUACCUCAUAUUGCCACAGAAGUUAAAACACAUAAAACAAAAGUAAAAAAUUAAAACAUUGUUGUAUGGAGAAGAAAAAGGUGUAAUUCACCUACCUUGUGGGUCCUCUCAAAAUAUCGAUCCUUUCCAGCCAGGAUAUAUUCAUGGGAGCCCUACCCACCAAACCUCUGGUCAGAACCAAAUGGCAAAUUCCUCAACUCAAAUGGCACACCACGUCUGUCCCAAAUGACAAAGCAAAAGAGACCCACACUAGUUAUCUUUCUGCUCACAUGACCUCCCUUGCACCUCUUUAUCUGGCAAGACCCCCUCGGUUGUUUGUGAAGCUAACUUCUCAGUCAUGUAGCCAUGGCUGCACUGGAACCUACUAUGGUGACCGAGAGAGUGGCAAAAGUGUUGAACAAGCUUUUGCUGCUUAAAUCCAAUGACAUACAGAUGUCUGACUUGUCAUAUCGUCUCUUGGUCUGUCUUGUAUUUUAUGAAAUCCUCUUGUGAUGGAUGCGUGGCAACAUAUGCAGACUUGACAAGUUAGAAUACCAUGUAAAUCAUUGGUUGUCUUGAAAAGUCAUAUCUACGCACCUGCCAGAAUGAAAGUAAAUCAGAACAAUCAGAUAGAACGGGAGAUGGCUAUCAGCCGACAAAAUGAAGCAAACAUACAUGCAUACACAUAUAUAUAUAUAUAUAUAUAUAUAUAUAUAAUGAUAGUAUCGAUAUUUAAAUAUCGAUCUUAUCAAGUGGCCAGCAUGGGAAUAAAUACCAUACAAAGGUAGUAAUUAUUUAAAACUAUAAAUUAGGGUAUCUGAGAGAUACCACCAUGCUGAAAUAGUAGUCAAAACCCUAGCCACAGCACUAGGAUAUAUAUAUAUAUAUAUAUAUAUAUAUAUAUAUAUAUAGAUAUAUAUAGAGAGAGAGAGAGAGAUAGAUAGAUAGAUAGAUAGAUAGAUAGAUAGAUAGAUAGAUAGAUAGAUAGAUAGACAGACAGACAGACAGACAGACAGACAGAUACAUGGUAUAGGGUGUGAUGGGUAAAUUGUCGCCAUCUUAUAAUUUUAAUUUUGCACAUGCUCAUUGUUUAUUUUUUGAUUUUGUCAAAUGCAUGCAGUAUAGUAGGGUCAGUUGGGCACCGACUGUGAAGAAAACAGCACCAUGAUGCAACUCACUCUGCCAGAAAUUUGGAAACGACAUGCUGUACUGCUUGGCAUUUGUGCCAGAAACUCCAAUACAAAUAUUUCAAACUGUUUGGGAGUGAAUCUGAGGACAGAUGUACCAAGAGUGAUAAAAAUCAAACAUCCAGUGAGCAUCAUGGUGUUUGGAGUGAUCACUAGUGAUGGUGAUGUCAUGCCUCCAUUCAUCUUCUCAACACAGAGGCCUACAUCAAGUGCCUGGAGGAGGUAGUACUGCUCUGGUUGAAAAGGGUGGCUGCUGGAAGAAUCUAUGUCUGGCAACGGGACUCUGCACCAUCCCACACAAGCAGGAAAACCCAGUCACGGCUGUCAGACAAUUUCUAUGACCACAUCAACCCUAACAUCUAACUCCACCUAACUCCCUGACUGCAACCCCCUUGAUUAUUAUGUGUGGGGUGCAGUUGAGCGAGAGACCAGCAAAAUGCCUUGUAACACCAAAGACAAACUGAAGGCAAAGAUUAUGGCAGCAUUCACCAACUUAAACAAGGUGACCGUCCAAAAGAGUUGCAGGAGAUUCCAAAGUUGUCUGGAGGUCACAGUUACAGCCAAUUGCGAUUUCAUUGAAUAAAUUUACUCUUUAGUAUUUCAAGAUUUUUUUAUGUAAUCUUGGUAAAUAUAUUAAAAUGAGAUGUCAGUGUUAUUUUCAUUUUUGCGUAAUUUAGACAACAGUUUAUUAACUGCACCCUGUAUCUCUCUCUCUCUCUCUCUCUCUCUUUCUAUGUAUAUAUAUAUAUUUAUAUAUACAUACAUGUUAGAACAGUGUGCUGUUCAUUUUGCUUUUUUGUUCUUCCAGUGUUCAAUAAAAAAGCACCAAUCAUAUAUUGAUGAGAUACUGAUUUCAAAUUUUAGCACAAGACCAGCAGUUUUGGGGGCGGGGCGGGGGGGAGUGAAUCGACUACGUGGACCCCAGUGUUCAACUGGUACCUAUUUUAUCAACUCCAAAAGGAUGAAAGGCAAAUUUGACCCCCCAGCAGUAUUCAAACUCGGAGUGUAAAGACAGACAAAUGCCACUAAGCAUUUUCCCCGGUGUGCAACCGAUUCUGCCAGCUCACCAUUUUAUGUUGAUGAAAUAGUGAUAAUUAUUUAAAUAAUUUUGUCCUCAUUCCAUCAUCAUCAUCAUUGUCAUUUAAAAUCCGCUUUCCAUGCUGGCAUGGGUUGGAUAGUUUGUCUGAGGACUGGUGAGCAAGAGGCUGCACCAGGCUCAAUCCAAUCUGGCAGAGAUUCUACAGCUGGAUGCCCUUCUUAACGCCAACCACUCCAAGAGUGUAGUGGGUGCUUUUAUGUGCCACCGGCACAAGGGCCGGUCAGGUGGUUCUGGCAACGACCAUGCUCAAAAGGUGUUUUUUACGUGCUACCUGCAUGGAAACCUGUCUGGUGGCACUGGACCUCACUCAAAUGUUGUUUUUCAUGUGCCACUGGCACAUGUGCCGGUAACGCAAUGCUAGCAAUGAUCACACUCGAAUGGUGCUUUUUAUGUGCCACCGGCACGGGAGCCAAUCCGUGGCCCUGGCAAUGAUCAUGCUUGGAUGUGCUUUUAACGUUCCACUGGCACAGGUGCCAAUCAGGUGGUUCUGUCAUCGGCCACGUCAGCGAUUUUGAGUUGACUUGAUUUGAUUUCCAAUUUAUUAACUAACUGCCACCUGUUGGUUAUGAUGAUGGGGGGUUCCAUUUGAUCCGAUCGAUGGAACAGCUUGCUCGUGGAAUUAAUAUGCAAAGGGAUGAGCACUCCACAGACACGUGUACCCUUAAUGUGGUUCUCAUGGAAACUCAGUGGGACUUAGGAUGUGACAAGCCUUUGAAAUACAUAUGCUAUAUAUUUUGGCCAGCUGGGUGGACUGUAACAAUGCAAAAUAAAGUCUCUUGCUUAAGGACACAAUAUGCCACUGGGAAUUGAACUCACAACCUUACAGCCAUGAACAGAAUCCCCUAACCACUAAGCCACGAACCUUCACAAUUCCUGUCCAAUGCAUUAAUAUUAAAUUUCAUUUAUUUUUUCAACCAUUUAAUUUUUUUUUUUUAUGUUUAUAAUAUUACAAUCAGAUAAAUAAUAAUUGUCUGAGAAUGACAUUAGAAAAAUAAUUGUAUGUUCAUUUUUUAAUUAUUUUUCUGUAAUUUUCUUCAGGACAACUCUAUAAGACAAACCAAAAUAAUAAGAUCUUGAAGAUUACCCUGUUGAAGUACGAUUAUGCAAACUGCACUAAUUAUACCCCAACAAAAAUUUCUUUCCAUGAACUGAAACCAAGCCAGAACAUUUCUAAUAGCUCAGCCACCCAGUCAUAUUAUAACUGGUAUAAUUACCUAG